rnacentral:lncRNA from 1 species
CUGGAGGGCAGGAGUUGCCCUCUGGUCCUGGUUUAGGCUGACCUUCUGAACGGGGCCUGAGGGCAGGACCACACGGGCAGGGAUCAGAAAGGAGCUGGAGGAGAGCUCAGAAGGGAGGGCGGGCCCAGCUCUCUUGGCGGCCAAGGAAAAAGCCUGGCAUGUUAGAGCUGGUGCAGGACUCUCCAGGGUGACCGAGCCACCCAGAAGAGGGAAAAGCCAUUCUCCAUAACAAAAAGUCAGGACCGGCUGAAAGCCCCUCCCAGCCCUCCACCCUCCUUCGGCGGGGCUUCUUUCUGAGCUUUGCCCCAUCCCUGCCCCGUGCUGGUGACUGGUGUUUGGCUCCCUCCUAGAGAAAGAGAUGGGCCUGGGUUGGUUGAGAGAGAAAGAGAGAGAAAGGGAGAGACAGAGAGAAGGCUUAGCUCUUGUCCAACAGGGCCACCUAGAGGGACUCUCAGGCUUGAGCGGGAGAAGCAGAGUUUUGAGGCAGAGCUGAUCAAGGGAACCUCAACAAACAACCCCAGCCAUGGAGGCGGCGGUGUCUUUGAAGACCCCAUGAGAGCAUCAAACAAGGGAGAGAGCCUGGAACAAAUCAUGGUAGUAAAAUGGCGGCAGAGAGCUAGUAAUGUGUCUGCAAUUGGUGGGUUCUUGGUCGCACUGACUUCAAGAAUGAAGCCGCGGACCCUCACGGUAUGACAGCUCCUCUCCCAACAGCUCUACUUUCUACAUCUACUCUCUACCACCACAAAACUUCUUUCAGUUCCAUGAAAGGGCCAUGUUUUUCUGGUCUCUUGGCCUAGGAGCAUGUUGUUCUUCUGCCAGCAACCUUCUUCAACCAUCUCCACAGGAUGACUCCUCUAUUGGAUACUUCCAUGAAAAGUCCAGGCCUGGGUUAUGUACCCUUCCCAAAGUGCACCCCAGACACCCAACAGUUUUUCCAGCCCAGACUCACCACACUGUGUGGUAAUUUCCUGAUCACUCAGUUGUGCUCCCCACAGACUAUAAGCUCUAUGAGGGCAGGGGCCACAGUUUGCUUGUUCACUACUAUAUGCUCAGUACCUGGUAAAUAUUAGUUGACUGAAGAAUGACUAUGUGGUAAUCUAUUCCAUUGGUGGCCUCCAGUGAACCAUGUCUUCUGGUAUUUACAUCUUGUGUGGUCCCCUCCAUUAAAUUUGGGCUUUAACCAACAGAAUGCUGCAGAAGCGACACCCUGCCACUUGUGCUUUUGUGAUCCUAGCCACCAGUAAGAAGCCCUGUGACCUUGCUGAGACCCUGAAGAGACCACAUAGAGAGGCCACUUGAAGGGCAAGGGGUCCUGACUCUACAUGGAGAGAGAAGCCCAGCCAUCCCUGUUUCCCAGCUGAGUCCUGACCAGAUAACUCACUACAAGACUGACCACAGGCAAGAACAGCAGAAGAGCUGCCCAGCUGAGCCCAUCCAAGAGUGCAGAAUUUCAAGCAAGUAAAAUGACUAAUGUUGUAAGCCACUAAAAUUCUAGGGUGGUUCUUACAUAGCAAUAUGUAACUGUGAUAAACUAAAUAAAUGAAUAAAAGGGAAUGAAGAAUUACUUCACAGAAUAAGUUUCAUGCAAAGACAUCUCAAUGUCUCUAAGAAACACUUCUAAGGAAGAGCAGAGUCAAGAAAAUAGCAACAGAACUAACAGGAAAUAGAGGAACUCAUACCACCAGCUUCCAUUUACAUUACAUCACAUUUUUCCUCUGUCAGUUUCUUUGGUUUUAAGAUAUUCUCCAAUGAAAAGAUAUUCCUACUCUUUUGUGAAAAAGAGAUUCUAGGUUUGACAUUAAAGUUAAGAAGUCCAACCAAGGAGGGGAUGUGAACACUAACACACAAAUGGAAACUGCUUAGAAUCCCAUGGCCAACCUAUCCCUGCUGUUCUAUUUCCUCUUACUUGCCAGCAGAGCAGAUCUACAGCUGUGGAUGAGGGCAUAGAGGCUGCUGUGCUCAGGGGAAACUGGAAUACUAUGGAGACUCCUGGCUUAACUGGGCACCAAAUGUUCAGUUCAGUGUGAAAAAUACCAUCCAAAGAUCAGAAUGGUUAAUUUUUAUACAGACAGUUAAUGACUUGUCAGUGAACUAGUAAAAACAAAAUAGACAGCUACUCAGUGCCUUUAACCCAGGCAUCCAAUCAGUUACACUAUACACAUAUGCACAUACACCCCCUAGAGACAGCUGAUACACACUGUUACAUAAUCCAGAAUAUUUUCUGGCUAGACUAUAUUUUGAAUCCUAAAUAUUAGCUAGCAACAUUAGCAUGCACAUCUCAGAAUGAGAAGACAGACUGCUACAUUUAUACUGGCUUGAUGGAAUCUUGGAUUGCUACUUCUAAUAAUUGCUUUUCUUCCUGAAAGAAAAAAAUCAUUAUGUAAGAACUAUGGCCUAAGCGAAGUAUCU